AUGGACUUCGGUGUUUUUUAGGUGUACUUUCGACUUCAUGCUUCUAUUUUGAAACUUGUGGGGAAACCAGACUCUGGAGUAGAUGCAGAGAUACUAGUUAGUUUCAUGAAAGAAGCUUCUGAGGGACCAUUUGCCAGGGGUGAGGAGAAGAACACCCCAAAAGCUGCAGAAAAAGAAAAAGCUUGCAUGAUUGAUGAAGACUCCACUCUUCAGCUGGAACAGUGCCAGGCCCUGGGACUUCCCUCCCCUCCUCCUCCGGUCCAGGUCUGACAUCCCCACCUUACACAGCCACUCCAGUUGACCACGAUUACGUCAAAUGUAAAAAACCCCGUCAGCAGGCAACGCCGGACGGCAUUCUCUUCCUGCUUUUACCUGUCACGGCUUGCUUUUAAUAAUUGGCAAAUCCUGCAUGAUAAACUCACUGGGAAAGGCUACUUGCUUCAUGCUGUGGGAGAAGUCUCCCUUCAUAGUUCGUUGGUCCUUUAAUUCUGCGAAUGUUAUGAAGAUGCACAGUUUUUUGUAAACGGGGCUUCUCAACAUCCUGAUGAGAGACAAAGGUGAUCUGAGAAACAUU